AGCGAACGCUGGCGGCGUACUUAACACAUGCAAGUCGAACGAGGAUCGCUUGUGUAGCAAUACAUAGGCGGUUCUAGUGGCGCACGGGUGAGUAACACGUGGGCAACCUGCCCUUGAGUCCGGGAUACCCUCUCGAAAGGGAGGCUAAUACUGGAUACGUUCCUCGGUCGCAAGGCCUGGGAGGAAAGGUAGGCGAAAGACUGCCGCUCUUGGAGGGGCGUCGGCGGCCUAUCAGCUAGUUGGUGAGGUAACGGCGUCACCAAGGCUAUGACGGGUAGCGUGGUCUGAGAGGACGACCAGCCACACGGGAACUGAGACACGGUCCCGA
rnacentral:rRNA from 1 species